UUUUUUCCCCUUGGUACUGUCUUUGCUCCUGGCAGGACUUCUUAUUCUUAAUGUUACUCCUACAACAUUUGGCAAAAAAUUUGUCAAACUCAAAAAUUACUUGUUUAGUAGCCACUUACCUUCUAACCCCCCUGUUCCCAUUUUUAAAAUAAGAGUAAACUUCCUGUAUAUCAGAAUUAGUUAGGUAUGGGAUGUUUACCUGAUAAUUUGUUUCAAUUAAUCUUAAUUUUCACAACAUUGAAUGUGGUGAGAUAUUUAUCAGUUAGUUUUCAUUAAACACACUUUGAAACUAUUCUUUGAUGUUUCAUAGCUAUCAGGGUUUUUAUUUAGAGCAUUUAUUAUCACAGAAAACUAAAGGUGUAGAAGAUGUAGGAAAACGCGCCAAAUUUGCACCAGUGUCUGGUAUGCUCUGGAGGCCGUUUCAUGGGAAAAGCAAUUACCAGCUUAUUGACACUUAUGCUUUUAAAAAUAGCAAAUAAAAAUUUUAUUUAAACGUAAUAGUUGUAUGGGUUGUGUGCAAAUGUGGGGUAUUAGUUAAUGUUAAAUAAAAAUGGUUUAUUUUAUAUUUGGGUUAAGUUACUUCCAUCCAGAUUACUGAUUUUUAGUAUAUUAGCACUAAUUGUUGAUUUUGUGGUUAAAAAAAUAGGAUACAGAGGGGAAGAGGUGUAAAGAGUAGCACUGUUAGAAGUCCUAGGUUAAUAGUUGUUAAGGGAGUAAGAUUUUAUGGUUCAAAUAAAUUUGGAAGAUAUUUGCCUAAAGGAAUUGUAAUAGGUUUCUUCUCUGGAGGACAGCUCAUAGAUUUUGAGGUGAUUUACCCUCAAAAAAGGCGAUAGAAUUUGCAUUACAUUUCAAAGUUGUGUAAUCUGUUGGUUUUGUUUCUCUAAUAUCGGACUAAUAUUGAGCCUUACAGGCUUUGUGGUAUUUCAUUUUAGGAAAUCCUGAGAUGCAAUGAGUUGUGCAUCAAGGAAGGAACUGUGGACUUGUAGGGCUCUUUUUAUACGCAAACAUAUACUCACAUUGAUACACGCUUGCUCAUAAUAAAUGAUUAGUAAAAAAUUACGACUUGAUUUUGUUGAUAUAUUUGUUAAUAGGAAUACGCUUGUGAUGGGGCAGUUCUUAAACAACAUGAGCUAUUUCCUUAAUUAUUAAUUGAUGACACCAUAAAGGCAACUAACCAGGAAAAGAACUUUAGGUCCAUUGGCAUUGAUAGGAUGUUAAGCUAGAAAAUGUGAAGAGACUGAACUUUGAAUUAAAGCAAGUAGACAACUUUUAACAUACCAAUUUAAAAAAAAUGGUUGAAAUUGAGUGAAAAAUAAGGCUGGAGUCAUAGUAAUUCAUACUUAUGUCUAUCGAUACCUACCAGAGUAGCGAGGUAGCACACGAAUGACCUGUAUGUUAAGCAUUAUAAGGAUGAGUCCCGACUUCACCUCUUAUUUAUGAUGCGACAUUGGGGCAGUUUGAACUUCUUGAGCCUUAGUUUCCUUCUGUGUAAAAUUGGGAUAAUAGUAGCACUUUCCUAAGCUGCUCUCUCAUUAUUCCGAAGAUGAAAUGAAGUGAAAGAGGGUAUGCAACUCAUUGUAAACUGUCAGUCAUUCUACAAAUAUCAGUAGUUAGUACAUCAGAUUUUUUCUUUCUAUAUGCCUUGUACUACUAUGAAUUCAGGUCCUAGGUUCCAUCUAGCUUUGUGGCUCACUAACUUCUCAGUAGGUGGGUGGUGGGUCCCAGGAAAAAGAUGUCCCCUGGCCAUUGGUGUGGUUACAGAGGAGGUGAAGAGUAGACUAUACGAAGUGAAAGGAACAAAUAGACUGAGAACAUGUCCUGCCAACUAGUGAUGAGGGUAGUUUAUUAUGUGGUUAGUAAACCGAUGCCAAAGAAUUUCUGAAAGGGCGUUCCAAAAAGUAUUUUGUAAAAGUUUACUUAUUUGAAGGUUAGCAGUCAUUUGUGUGUAUAUACUUAGAAAUAUUUGCAGGAAAUCUUUUAUUUUUAAUCAAUCCUGGCAAUCCUAAAAAUCCUGGGAUGGUUUUUAAAAGGAAAGCUGUUUAGGAUGAUUUUGAUAAGGCUUUGUGAUGACCUGUACUGGACAUUAUUUUUAGUGGAUUAAUUUGUUUACCAAACACAAGUACACCUACUGUGUGGUAGGCAUGAGCUAAGUUCUGGGGCUUUAAGUGGUGAGUCAGGCCUAGAAUCUGCCCUCAGAAAAUUAAGUAUUAGAAUUAAAUUCUGCCAGUUGGGCCAUGGUUCAGCCAAAGCCUUGAGGUCUUUUGUCAGAAGCAAACAAGUAAUAUAAUUAAAGGGUGAAAAAUGAAGAGGAAGAAAAGGUAAUUACUUAUAUUAGCUUUAUAACUCCAGGUAAAGCUGCUAGUUUGGAUGAGAUGGCAGCUUUAAAAGGAGGUUCUUACAACUGUAGUCAGCCCAUCUCAACUGUCUGCAUUUGCUCCAAGCAGAUUCACAAUGUGAAGUAAAAGAAAAAAUGACAACAGAGAAGAAAAAUCGGUGAAUUUGUCAUUAUUUUUUCCUUGAAAAGACCCAGAUCCCUUAGACCGUAGAUCCCUUUAAGAGGUCUACGAAAUUUUACCAAAAGACCCAGCUGAAUUCCAUUACCCUGGUAAAGGUAAUACUUGGUCCCCACGCACCUUUCAUUUAUUUGCUUAUUUUCCAUUUCUCCCCUACUCGAAUGUACACUCCUGAAGAUGGGGUUCACAGUCAUAUUCCCGGUGUCUGGAACACAGCUGGAGGCUCAGUAUUCCUCACUUAACAUCUGUCAAAUGAAUGUUGAAUAUUCCUUGCAGUAGAAUUAAGGUAAAAGUGAAAAAUUACUAAGAAAACAUUGCGUGUGGUAAAUUUAAACUAUCACGUUAAUUACCCUUCAUGGAUUGUUUACUCACUAUGUCCAUUAAACUCUUUUUAUUAGUGCAUUGUAGUUUAAUACUGUGUUUGGGGCCACAAAACAAAAAAGAAUUUGACAAAAAAAAGUUGAACAUCAAGCUUUUAUUUGGACUGUAAGUCUCUUAAUUUCUCCUACUGGAAAAAUCUGAUUAGAUUGAUGUUAUUUUCAUGUAGCCCAUUAUAAAUGCAGAACAGCUUGGAUUUUAUCUUGUACCUUGUCCUGUUUAAAUUUUAUUGUGAUUUCAUAUGUGCCACUUAAAAACGUAUUCCUGAUCUAGAUAAAUUGAAAGAAAGCUUUAUUUAUGAUAGUACAAUAAUGCUGAUUUUUGUGGCACUUCAUUGAAUGUUUCAUAGCUUGUACGACCUUUAAUACUAUCUUGAAAAUUUGCAAGCAUGAGUAAAAAUUUGGUCAUGAAUUUUAACAAGUUGGAAAAUUUGGGGGCAUAUUUCCAAGAAGUACAGCUGCCACCACAGUCUCUAGACUAAAGUGCCUCUCGGUGUCACAUUGUUAGAGGAUUUCACCCACCUACAAUUCCAUUGCAUACUUAAAAAUAAUAUGUGCCAGAAAAGUUCAGUAGUGAUUCUAUGCUCACAUGUGAAAAUUAAACUGGUCUAAUGAUUUUUAAGUUAGUACAAGAGACUCAUAUACAUCAAGUGUGGUAAAUCACAGGUGUGGGCUUAUUGCCCUGUUUUCUCCAGUUUCCUGAGGAAUCUUUUUAUUCUGAAUCCUCUGUGAAAUCCCUAAAUUGACAUCCUGCUUUGCUUUUGACCUUAGCCCUGCAUUGUUGGAGAGUCCUUGAGUGUUACUGUAUUUAAACCUGAAUUCCUUUUGCUUCUGGAACCCUGGGGCUAUUUUUAGCCUGGCCUUGGUUUGGCACAGGAGAGAGUUUGUGAUUCUUUGUAUUGUGACUUUUAUUUUCAGGCUAGACUUGUGUGACAACAAGUGUGUGUGCAAUUGAAUGGCUUUUGGAUUCACCAUCAUUUGAGGCUUGGGAAUUGUAAAACCGAUUGAAAGUUGUACAGUUUUAAUGGAGGAGUUAAGUAUGAAAUAAAAUUUCACCUCAUUUUAGUUAUUACAUAAAUUUUGGGAAGUCAUGGUCUGAUUUUAAGAUAUCAAGUGUUUCUCCAAAUCAUAAUAUUGUACUUUAGAAUUUGUUCUUGAUUUCUCUUCAGGAGUUUGAGAUGGCAUUUCGUUCUCGGAAUUUUUCUCAGCGUUUAAUCAGACUGCAACUAUUAACACAGUCAGCUUUUUUCAUAUUCAGUGUUAAUUACGAACAUCUGAUGCUUUUUCUUGAAUAAUAGUACCUAAGCAUUCAACACUUAAACUGUUCUAAUAGUCUAAUCCUGGUAAAGUUUAGCAGAAGAAGAGGAAAUGGGCUACUGGGAGUUGGAACUUGAAAGGUAGAAAACAACAAAAAAACAGAAAAAGAAACUGAAAUAGUGUGCUUUAGUGGAUGUGCUGAUUACAUAGCAAUUUUAGAAAAAUCAGUUAGGCUUAAGAGUAUUUUAUAAUUUAUUACAAUGUAUUUUAUGAACUAAAAAAGCUCUAUAAGAUAAUAUCUGAUAGCUGAAAAUAUUCAAUCAAAAAAUGGGCAUUAGUGCAGAAUUUACAGGACUACCAAAGUUAGACCGUCUUUGUGUUGGGACUCAGAGUGUCAGUCACUUAUAUCUGUAGCUACAUCUCUCUCCAUAUAUAUGCACUUCUAAUCACAAAUUGACUGUUCCUAAUUUUGGAAGGAGAGUAUAUGCUUUUGGUUAAGAAUGAUGGCUUGUGUCUGAUUAUUUGGAUUUGAAUCUAAAUUUUGUCACUUCAGAGCAUUUUGACUUCAGUCUUUUUGAGCCUCAGUUUUUCUCUUGUGUGUCACUUGUAAAUGAAUGGUCCUUACUCCUCAGGGUUGUUAUAAGUAUUCAGUGAAAUAACACAUUUUAAGUGUUUCCCACAGUAGCACUCAAUAACUAUGAAGUUUUAUUAUUAUUUUCUCAGAUGUAAAUAGCAAGUGAUUUAUUUUUGUAACUUGGAAUUUAAUGUUUGAAGCUGUUUUCUGUCUUUGUUUCAUUGAGGAAGUUUUAAAAUAUCAGAUUAAUGACUCAUGAUCUAAUUCUUUGUUUUUAUUAACUUUCUAAUUUAUGUGUUGCAUUAAGAUCUAGAUUUAGACUGAAUUCAGGAUGAAAUUAAGAGAGUUGACACCUGUAUAAUAUGAGUUGGUCAUAAAUAGAACUUUUGACUAACCAAAUUUCUUCUGGCCAUUUUGCUACAAAUGAAGGGAAAGGGAAAAUUGUAGUAUAAUCUCAUGUCAUGCUUUAAAAAUGCCAGUGUUAAUGUAGUUUUCUGCUAUAGGAAGUACUAUGGUCCUUGUCAAUUUGAUAAUAUUUUAUGUAAAGUAGCUCUAAAUUUAUAUAAGCUUUUUUACUGAAUAGUUCCUUUAAUAAGAAGUAUAAACGUAUUAUUAAAAUCCUUUGUAUAAAAAAUAUGUAGCCGGCUUGAUUGGUCUUAGAACUGUGCUGUGGGUUAGGAAACGAACUUAGGGCUAAGUUAUUACAAAUAAAAUUUGUGUUUAGAAUUCUAAGUAUAGAUAUUAGACCCAUAAAUAGUUUUAGUCCCUUUAUCAAUAGCAGUUAUCAGCAUUCAUGUAAUAGCACAAUAAACUGUUAUACUUAACCAGUGAUGUGUUCUUGUUAUAACAACAUUUUACUUAGUGGGCGGUUAUGCCAUCAAAGUCCUUUGUGGGUGGAGCUAUGUCUGUCUGUAUUUUUCUUUCUAGACUUAUUUUUCCCCUUUACCCUGUCACUUAGUGGAUAUGUUGAUUUCCCUCCACCCCUGCUGUGUCUUUUACUGUUCUCCUCUAUGUCUGUAGGUCUGCAGCUUGCUAACUCAGUUGUUCGCCCAACCUUUACCUUUUUCUCCUCUCAAAUAUAUCAAACAGGCCAUAACAGAGAAUUUAACUUUGAUUUUUUAAGUUAUACUUAUAGGGUUAAAAAUAUUUUCCAUUGUUAAUUUAAAGGGCAAACAAAUUAAACAUUUUAUAUACAUUUUUAAUAUAUGGUUUGAUAUAAUUUCCUUUUACGAUUCUAUGCCUCUUGUCUGAAUUUAUCUUGAUUAAAAGGCUCAUAAUCUCUGAGUUAAUUAACACUGUUGUGCUUUUUUAGUUGUGAAUUAAGAGAUCUGGUAGUACUUUCAGAAUCAUUGUUCUGAUAUUGAGUUAUUGUGUAGCUGUCAGGAAUGUGAUGGAAAUUUAUUUUAAUCUGUACCAACUCUAGAACAUACCCUAAAAGUUACCUAAAUACUAAUACCUACAAAAAUCUACAUAUUAAAGAGUACCAAGAACUUUAAGGGUUAGUGACAGUUUAGUUACGUUAGGUUUUUCUGAGAAGUUGAAUUUUUAAAUCUUAAUAAAUUACUUUCAUUUGAUUAAUCAGAUACAUUCGCAGAAUUUGGCCCAUCUCCUCCCCCCUGCACUGCCCUACCUCCUUUGUAAAAGCCUUCUUGAGAGUCAUUGUAAAGUAUUGGUUCAGAACUUGCUUGAAUUUUAAACCCAGCUCAGUUUUCAUGGUCUAGCCCUAUGACUUAGCUGUUUUUCAUUUAUAGAACAGUCAGUAAUUUAACUUUUGCCAGAGUUGUUGUGAGAAUUAGAUGUGUAUAGUAAGUACAGAUUUAUAGUCUGUGUUUUGCAAACGUAUAUAA